rnacentral:rRNA from 1 species
UACGUAGGGGGCGAGCGUUGUCCGGAUUUAUUGGGCGUAAAGAGCUCGUAGGCCGUUCGGUAAGUCAGAUGUGAAAACUCCAGGCUCAACUUGGAGAGGCCAUCUGAUACUGCCGUGACUUGAGUCCGGUAGGGGAGCACGGAAUUCCUGGUGUAGCGGUGAAAUGCGCAGAUAUCAGGAGGAACACCGGUGGCGAAGGCGGUUCUCUGGGCCGAUACUGACGCUGAGGAGCGAAAGCGUGGGGAGCGAACAGG